GUCAUCAAGUGAUGAGAAUGGAAAAAUCUUAGGACACCUUCCUACAUGGUUUUUGUUAGGCCAUGGAUGAGAAUAACUUUCCGUUCUGAUGAUGAC